rfam:Lachnospiraceae bacterium 2_1_46FAA genomic scaffold aclXT-supercont-complete, whole genome shotgun sequence.
GGGCUUGUACUGGUUUCGACGGGGGUUUUGAAGUUUGGGAAGCCAUCUGCGGUGCGGAACCGCAUAACAAUCCGCAAAUUAAAAUUAAACGCAGACGAAAAUUUAGCGUACGCUGCCUAGUGGCAGCAGUCGGACUUGAGUCGCUCACUGCUUAAGUAACCGGCUUCGACGAGGUGAGGCACUUCAUUUCCAAUGCCUUGAGGGAAUGGAAGAAUCAAUCAGGCUACUGAAACUGACAGUUCGUCAUCAGACGGUCAGCGGAGGGAAUGUUAAAAUGAUGACUGUGAUGGGAGAUGCCUGAAUGGACGGGCUUUCGGACAGGGGUUCGAUUCCCCUCAGGUCCAUUU